UGUUUCGGCUAGGGGGUCAUCCCGACUUACCAACCCGAUGCAAACUACGAAUACCGAAGAAUGUUAUCACGGGAGACACACGGCGGGUGCUAACGUCCGUCGUGAAGAGGGAAACAACCCAGACCGCCAGCUAAGGUCCCAAAGUCAUGGUUAAGUGGGAAACGAUGUGGGAAGGCACAGACAGCCAGGAUGUUGGCUUAGAAGCAGCCAUCAUUUAAAGAAAGCGUAAUAGCUCACUGGUCGAGUCGGCCUGCGCGGAAGAUGUAACGGGGCUAAACCAUGCACCGAAGCUGCGGCAGCGACACUAUGUGUUGUUGGGUAGGGGAGCGUUCUGUAAGCCUGCGAAGGUGACCUGUGA
rnacentral:rRNA from 1 species